AUUAGUUUUUUAAUUGGAGGCUAGAAUGAAUGGUCUGACAAGAGAUAACCUGUCUUAAAUAAAAAUAUUGAAUUUAACUUUUAAGUGAAAAGGCUUAAAUGCUCUGAAGGGACGAUAAGACCCUAUAAAACUUUAUAUUUAGGAGUAGAAGUUAGUUUUAUUUUAUUGGCUCUAUUUAAAAGUAUUUGGUUGGGGUGACAUAAAUAAAAAAUGAAAUAAUUGUUUUUAUUUUUUACAAUGAUAUUUGGGUUUGUGAUCCUGAAGUGGAUUGAAAGAUUAAGUUACUUUAGGGAUAACAGCGUAAUUUUCUUUAAGAGUUCUUAUCAACAAGAAAGUUUGCGACCUCGAUGUUGAAUUAAAAGUUCUUUAUAGAGUAGAGACUAUAAUAGAAGGUCUGUUCGACCUUUAAAAUUUUACAUGAUUUGAGUUCAGACCGGUGUGAG
rnacentral:rRNA from 1 species